AAAGGUAAUUUUCGGCAUACACGAGGUAUCAUUGGGGCCCAUAAGCAACAUUUUGAACACCAGCUAAAUGAUUACCGUUAUUCCUUAAAACAAACGUGGAUUCGCAAGACAUAAACCACACAAACACUUACAUCCAACGUCCACGCCUCAAAGUAGGCCAUCACGUGAUUAAUCAGACCACGUGACGGGAAAAUUGUAUUUUGUCCAAUCAGCAUCACAAACCAGCGGUUGGAAAAGAAAAAGGCAAAUGUCUAAAUUAUGGAUAGGCAAACUUACAUUUCCAGUUUUUACGAAAAGAACAAAUGCAUAUAUACAUUAUUUAUCACUGCGCGUUCAUCGUGUAACCCAUCAAACAUUUCUUUUUAGAAAAAGUUGUUUUGUGACACUUUUACCGUUUAAUAGUGGUACUAUUAUAACUUUUUGUACAAAAAAAUGUCACACAACCCUGGCAUAGGACAACUUUUCACUCUAUUUUCCUAUUUUGCAGUAAGCAAAGAACAUUCAAGCAAUUAUAAACCGUAUCCUCACGACUUCCAUAAACCGUUGUUAAUUUAAUUUAAAACACGAUCAGGAUAUUUGAGUAUUUUGUGCUAAGGGUGCCCCAUCUUUCCCCACCCUACUAUAUACUAGAUCAGGGUAAUAUGGUUUUGUUUUCCUUUUUUCUUGCUAUUUGGAAACAAGAACUUUUACUUUUAAAUAGCGUUGGUAAUUGUUAAAAAACACAGUAGGGAAAGGUGGUAUCGCUACAUACGACAUAUAUAUUAGUAUCUUUGUAAUUUUACCUCCCAUCUUUUCUGUUUUAGCUUUCUUAUGUUUGACUGCAACCGAAAUAUAAAAUAUACAUAUAUUUAAA